rnacentral:rRNA from 1 species
AGAGUUUGAUCCUGGCUCAGGACGAACGCUGGCGGCGUGCCUAAUACAUGCAAGUAGAACGCUGAAGACUUUAGCUUGCUAGAGUUGGAAGAGUUGCGAACGGGUGAGUAACGCGUAGGUAACCUGCCUACUAGCGGGGGAUAACUAUUGGAAACGAUAGCUAAUACCGCAUAAUAGUGUUUAACACAUGUUAGAGACUUGAAAGAUGCAAUUGCAUCACUAGUAGAUGGACCUGCGUUGUAUUAGCUAGUUGGUGGGGUAACGGCCUACCAAGGCGACGAUACAUAGCCGACCUGAGAGGGUGAUCGGCCACACUGGGACUGAGACACGGCCCAGACUCCUACGGGAGGCAGCAGUAGGGAAUCUUCGGCAAUGGGGGCAACCCUGACCGAGCAACGCCGCGUGAGUGAAGAAGGUUUUCGGAUCGUAAAGCUCUGUUGUAAGAGAAGAACGUGUGUGAGAGUGGAAAGUUCACACAGUGACGGUAACUUACCAGAAAGGGACGGCUAACUACGUGCCAGCAGCCGCGGUAAU